rnacentral:lncRNA from 1 species
GACUCAUUUUGGAUCACUGUAGUACAAGUCAUAAUCACCUAUGAUUCCUUGUGCAGAACAUUUUGCAUUUGUAGGUGAGUCAUUACUGCAUUAUGUUCACAUCCAAAAGAGCUACCCAUGAUGAAAAAUCCCUUGUGCUGGGCACAAACGCUAAAAUAGAGCCCUGUCAUUUAAGUUUACAACUUGUGUGGUAAAAGUGUGCUGAAAUUUGUUCAGUGACUUACACCUCAAGAGAGGCUCUGAUAUUCCUUUGGUAUGGAAAAGGACCCACAUUUUGGAGCAUGGAUAAAGAAAGAUUUGGCUUUUCAUCCCAAACUCAAUGGAGUUGUAAAACCCACAGAGAAACGGCAGCCUGUUAUGAUAUUUACGUCAUCCAGUUAUGAGUCCAGAGUGAAGAAUUUAUUUCCAGGGGCUUGAAACUUCAACAGUGACCACUUCUGAGUAAUAGAGGAUAAGAAUAAAUAAAUACAGAAG